rnacentral:misc_RNA from 1 species
GCAGCCUCACAGCUGCUUCCCCAUGAUGCCUGGAGCCACCCCUGGUACAUCCCCCUUCUGAUGGGGCAGACUCUCCACACCACUGAACAGUGAGGACCGUGUGGGAUACGCUCAAGUCACGCCGCCGCAGUGCCAUCCAGGACCUGGCCGCCGACAUCAGCAGCGAUACAUCGCUCUGACCUUCCGCACCCCAUGGAGGCCUAGCCCUGCCGCCACCAGAAGUGGUUUGGCAUUUGGGCAGGGGAUAUGAGGUGUGUGUGUGUGUGAAGUGGGGAAGGUGACUGCUUGGCUUCUCCCACAGAGAGUGGGUGUGCUUGAUCCUGAGGUGCGACGCACUGCUGGGCGGUGUCGCCCCGUCGUGAGGGUGCACGUGAGAGGGCCCAGAACAAACAAGGGCGAGUGGGUGGAGAAGCAGACGAGUCGGCAACCGGCACCGUGGUAGAUGUCUCCUUCCCGUCCAGGGAACUUUUCCGUCUUCGUUUCGCUCUUGCAUCACUCCUCCGAUCUAUGCAUGACGCUUUCUCUACGGGAAUGCCUCACAUACGCGGCUCUGAAGCCCCUCUUCCCCACAUUCUUCUCCUCUCCAAGGUGCCUCCUACGCCGAGGUUAGUUCUCCUUAUCCUUUUUAUUUCCGCCCUUCUCUGUGACUCUCUACGCUGGUGAUCUGCGUGCAUAGCUUUUUGUUUGGUUGUUUUCGCGUUGAUUGUGUGGAAGGGCGCGCGCGCGAGUGGGAGUGUGAGUGCAUAGUGCGUGGAAGCGCCUCCUUCAUCCCUCUCCCUCUUCCCCUUCCCGCCCAAUCUCUCUCUCUCUCUCGGCCUCUUAUUAGUCUUAUAAUCUGCGUUACCGUUUGCCUUCUCUUCGUUUUUGGAUCUUGGCACCAGCGGAAUGCAGUGGCAGCAGGCGCCGCCGGGGAUAGCAGCCCCCUACACGGCGGCACCCAGUAGCACAUCACCGCCCCUCUUCGGUGUAAUCAUUCCCGGCUACCCCGUACAGACUGACAUCUCCCCAGUCGACACCGGGCGGUGGAUCGUCUACCUCGGUGUCGCACCAGAAAGUUUUGUCGUGUUUCUCACCAUGUCAGAGCCGCUCCCUCCCGGCCACGGCAUCGGCCUCUUUCUCGCGCGCGAGGACACGAUGAGUUUUCAGUAUGUUGGCGCCCUGACCCAGCAGCGGGCAAGCUUUAUCGUUGAAGUCCCCGCUGUCUUUUUGAAUGCCGCCCAGCCAAUCCGUAUCGUUCUCGGGCUGGCACUGGAGCGGGAAGAGGAGCUGAAGAACCUCGGCUUCACGCACGAGCAGCCGUUGCAGCAAUCGCAGGCAGCCACCAAGGUCGCCAUCGCCGAGCGAAUUCUCGAGGAUCUGUAUGGCUUCGUCGUGAGCUACGCCCGCACAAUCACCUUGGGCGGCGGUAGCGGCACCAAUGAUGUUACCUCUAUCGAGCCUGGCGACUAUGUCGUGAUGCCAACGUCCUUUGUGGACAAGUGGCGCGCACGCCUGCAGUCAAAAAUAACAAAGGACAACGCCUUCUGGACAUAGGCUCGAACGCGAUGCCAAAAAGGGCGGCCGCACGGCGGUGAGAAAGAGCGGGGAGAGUGCGGCAGCAAACGGGAGAGCAGCACCUUCUCACCGUCAAGCGCGCGUGUGCGCCGUGUGAAGUGCACUGACCCGGCCCCUUUCCUCGUAGAGCUCUUCCUUCUCUCUCUUUUGAGGGCUCAUUUUCUCAUUCUGCUGCUGUCGUUAGCGCACAAAAAAAAAGGUGGAGGGGAGAAGUGCAUAGUGUAUGGGCGCGCUGCUCUCGCUCAACGACAGCUGCCGUCGCUACGAUCGUGUGCGACCUUGACGCGCAGUUUUGCGGUCUGCACAGACAAUGGCCGUUGUCAGGCUCGAUCUGUGCCUCCCUCCUCCUCCUUCCUCCCUCCUCUCCCGCUCUCGCUUUUGCGUGUUUUUACUUGCCUGUACGCACCGCCGCCGUGUGUCUGUCUGCAUGUGUGUUACGCUCCCACCUUCUUCCCCCACCCCCUCUUACUCUCUCCGUGUGUGUGGGGGGGACGUCCCUGUGUGUGUAAAGGUCACCGUAUCUUUCGAAGGCCUGCGCAGCGUUUUGCUUCUAUGGUUCACGGUGCGGGAGCAUACGAGGGUUCUCGUUGUUGUUGCUUGCACGAUCUGAUACAACAACGUACGAAUCUGAAGGAAGAGGCGAAGAAAGAAGAAAAGAGCACAGAACGAGGGAGGGGCGGGACGCUGUUGCGUGUUGAAGCAAAUAGAAGAUGUCGGAAGGGCCACCCCUCCGAUGACAAAUCCGUGUCCAACCCUUUUCUCUUCGUCACUCUCUGUGCCCACUCCACCCCCUCUGCGAGCGCGCUUGCAUUGCUUGACAGUGUCCUUCACAG